GGAGAGGCGGAGAGAGGCAGGGGCAGGCGGGGAGAGGUGGGGAGAGGCAGGGGCCGGUGGGGUCAGGAGCCGGGGCAGGCAGGGGCAGGCAGGGAGAGGCAGGGGCAGGUAGAUGCAGGCAGGGAGAGGCAGGGAGAGGUGGGGAGAGGCAGGGGCAGGCGGGGAGAGGUGAGGAGAGGCAGGGGCAGGUAGAUGCAGGCAGGGAGAGGCAGGGAGAGGCAGGGGCAGGCGGGGAGAGGUGAGGAGAGGCAGGGGCAGGUAGAUGCAGGCAGGGAGAGGCAGAGAGAGGCAGGGGCAGGCGGGGAGAGGUGAGGAGAGGCAGGGGCAGGUA